rnacentral:misc_RNA from 1 species
ACAGUACUGUUUACUGAGACUUUCCACUUUUUUUUUACCGCGAACUUUAUUUGUUGUUAUUUUACCUCCAAGUGAUGUUGGAGGUUUUGUUAUAUUCCUAGGUCAAGGGCAGACAUCUCGGAUGCAUGCAUGUGCUGGCUUUGUUACAGUUUUGAGGUGUGCUUAUGGCCAGAUCCUCCUGGGUCAGUAGUGUUGAGGCUUCCUGCGUCCCUUGUACCGACUACCAAGAGCCUGAUGCCAAAAGACUUGGGCAAUAAUAUUGAAUGUUACUUUUUUCUGCGAGGUGCUGCGGCUAGUAGGGCACGGAUGCAUGCAUGUGCUGGCUUUGUUACAGUUUUGAGGUGUGCUUCUGGCCAGAUCCUCCCGGGUCAGUAGUGUUGAGGCUUCUGUGUUAGCGCGAUGCCAAAGACUGGAGCAUAAAAAAUGUACUUUCUUGUUAAAGUCAAAGAGUUUUGCGGCUAGUAGGGUGCUCCCCAAAAAAUGUCUCGGAUUAAGUUAUAUUACAACUCAUGACGGUGGAUGCCUUGGC